GUUGGUAACAAGCAUUGCUGGGACAUGAAUGGACGCAGAUGGAGAGAGAGAGGAAGAGCUGUGUCUCAAAGG